AGAGUUUGAUCCUGGCUCAGGACAAACGCUGGCGGCGUGCGUAACACAUGCAAGUCGUGCGGGCGGCCUUCGGGCCGUCAGCGGCGGACGGGUGAGUAACACGUGAGUCACCAACCCUCCAGUGGGGGAUACCUGGCGGAAACGCUGGUUAAUCCCGCAUACGGUUCUUCGGAACGAAAGCGGCAACGCGCUGGUGGACG
rnacentral:rRNA from 1 species